UACGAGGGGGGCAAGCGUUGUUCGGAAUUAUUGGGCGUAAAGAGCGCGCAGGCGGUCGUUCAAGUCGCGUGUGAAAGCCCCCGGCUCAACUGGGGAGGGUCACGCGAUACUGAUCGACUGGAAGGCAGGAGAGGGUAGUGGAAUUCCCGGUGUAGUGGUGAAAUGCGUAGAUAUCGGGAGGAACACCAGUGGCGAAGGCGACUACCUGGCCUGUUCUUGACGCUGAGGCGCGAAAGCUAGGGGAGCAAACGGG
rnacentral:rRNA from 1 species